AUUGAACGCUGGCGGCAUGCUUUACACAUGCAAGUCGAACGGCAGCGCGGGCUUCGGCCUGGCGGCGAGUGGCGAACGGGUGAGUAAUGCAUCGGAACGUGCCCAGUAGUGGGGGAUAGCCCGGCGAAAGCCGGAUUAAUACCGCAUACGACCUGAGGGUGAAAGCGGGGGACCGAAAGGACUCGCGGUCUGGGAGGGGCCGACGUGGGAUUGGCCAGUUGGUGGGGUAAAGGCUUACCUAGGCGACGAUCCGUAGCUGGUCGGAGAGGAGGACAGGCCACACGGGGACUGAGACACGGCCCAGACGCCUACGGGAGGCAGCAGUGUGGAAUGGUGGACAAUGGGGGCGACCAUGAUCCAGCGAUGCCGCGCGCGGGAAGAAGGCCUUCGGGGUGUAAACCGCUUUUGUGCGGGAAGAAACCCUUUGGGCUAAUACCCCGGGGGGGUGACGGUACCGGAAGAAUAAGCACCGGCUAACUACGUG
rnacentral:rRNA from 1 species